CUCUAAAUUUACCUGUCACAGCACUCUGAUUGGUAGGCUUGAAAUCCUACCAGAGUGCUCUGUGUCAUUUUACAAAUCGUGGGAAAGUUGUUCCCAUGCUGUGUAAUUUGACUCAUAACGCUCUGAUUGGUUGUUUGAAAGUUGGUAAAGCGUAGGAAACUUCCAUAAGACAAAGUAGUCCCUACUUUGUCUUAUGUUUUAAAGAAAACUAGAGCAGACAGGAAGAAAUGAAGAACACAUCCUGACCGAGGAAGAGAAGAGGAAUUGAUUAAACAAAGGUAUGUUGGGCAUGACCGUCCCGCUUUAAGGAAGAACAUCCCUCUUAUACUGCCCCUAUACUAAGAGAAAAAUUAUUUACAGUAAGUUUUUUCUUUUUUUUUUUAAACCUGCCCCAAAAUGUUAUAUAUUAAUAAUAUCCUACCUGCAUCCUUUAACUAAUCUAAAGAGAAUAUAUUUUUGAGAUAUUGUUACCCAAUGCUAUAAAUAUUCAUAUCAUCUUUUAAUUUAAGUGUAAGAUGUUCAGAUAAUUUGUUUCAACUUGAAAAAGUCUGCUUUGGCAGAUACCUUUCAAUCAAUAAUGAACAAAUCUUAAAUUACAUGGAUAUAUUUAAUAAUUGAAUGUUAAUCAUCAAAGAAUGUAAAUUUAUACUAUGUAUCACUAUGACUUUGUUUGAGGUUUUCCAAUCAUAAUUGCAAAUGUAUUGCUUGUGAAUAAUCUCACAAUAAAAAAGUAGGCUUGCUGAUACCAGAAAAAGAAUGCAUAAAAUGAAAAACUUUCUAGUGAAAAUGUUCAGCUGUUGGUCUUGUGGUUUGUCACGAGGCAGUAUUAUUUUUCUACAACAUAACACAGCCUAGAAGCAUGACUCCUGUGUUCCUCAAUCACACAGUAACAUGUAUAUCCUGGUGCUGCAAUGAGGUAUUGGGACCCUGCAAUUCUCAGUGCCAUUUGGUUUUUAAAGCGGCUCUGAUCUUCUGGGAGCUUUGGAUAUUUUGCAAAGAUCCCCAAUGGUGACAUUGUAACAUGGUGUGCUGUGGCCCAGAAAGGCAGGGAAGGUGAAGGUUUUACUUACCUGAUGCUGUCCCUCGUGACUGCCCCCAUCUCCAUCUGAGAGAUCCUCUUUAUCUCCUAGCACUUCAUCUGCCAGGAGCCCAUAUCAGUGUUCGUACUCUUGCACAUGUGUGAGAGUACAACACUGAUGUCUAUGGAGGAGACUGUGAGAACCUCAAUAGACAAGUACGUUUUCCUCACAGCUAUCAUGACAGAAUGUCUAUCUCCCUGCCAUUGUUUACUUCAAGUCUCCACACACCGCCAGCAUGGGAUUGGGAGGGACAGUAGAACAUCUUCCCUGAAAAUUAUAGUUGAGGUCCCUACCCAUCAUCAAUGUGUGGAGAACACUAGGCCCUCCCUCUGAAUAUGAUAAUCUCUUCCAACCACUGAACAUUGGUGAGGGUGGAACGUAAGGUUGUCCAUAUGUUUAUUUUAUUAACAAAUUAUUUUAUUAACCUGCUGAUAUGGGUGGAGCAGGGGGAUAGAUAAUCUAUCCACACCCAUUACUUAAAUCAAAUGUCCCCCACCAGAUGCCAACAGAGCAGGGCGACUAUGCCCUUCUCUCCCUCCUUUUUAUAUUUUGAUGGGUCCUUUCUAGUGACUGGGCAGCUAUGGCUUCCCAGUUGCUAGUUUUAACUAACUUAACUAACUAACCUCCAACGGUUGCAUAACAUAAUGCAACCUUGAUCUCUUGAUCCCUAUAGUUUCUUCCGAAUCCCCCUUGCCUUGCGAAAUUUGCAAAGACGCCUGAUUGUGACACCGCCACUGGGGGUACGGUGGCUGGGUGGGCAGGUAAAGGUGAGUUACUUGCCUGAACUGGUCCUUCACUGGCACCACCAUCUUGUUCCAGCGGGUCACCGCAUUGAGGUGUAUGCAGGAUGCAGGAGAUCCUCUAUAUACUAAGCCAAUUACCUGUCAGGAUUUACUCUGUACCACUGUGGAAAUAUAGAGAGAAAGUAGGACGUAAUUAUAGAAAUGUUCUCAGUUACAAAGGGAAUUCGGGCACCACAAAGUAUUUUCAAGGAUAUUUGCCAAACCAGGAAUUGUUAGGAAUGUAGAAGAGUACUAAAAAUGUAACACAACUUCUAGUUCUAUUUUAUCUGUUUGGUUAUUUUAGCCUAAAAUCUGUAGUUCCUUUUCUCAAUUACAAUAAACAUGACGAAAAGAGGGGGUGGGGGGAAUAUUUUAAAAAAGUAAAGUAUAUUUUACUGGGGUUUACUCAUUAAACAGCAAUGGUGAAGAGCUGAAAAGUGACUUGUAUUUAGGAUAAAAAAUAAAUAAAUAAAAAUACCUAAAGCAAAGACUAUAACUAGUUCCGUAUUUCCACGUCUAAUGCCACUUUUAAACAACUGUGUUUUUAUUUUGUUGUUUGUUUAAUCUAUCAAGUCUUUUCAAUUUCAUGGUAAAUUAUUAAUAAUCUGCAAACGGAAUAAAUUCGUAAGUGAGCCUGACAAUGUUUAACCCUGUAAGUGACAGCGGUAUCUGGCCCUCCACCCUCCUCCUGGCAGCAGUCACAUGGCACUAAUGGGAGGGGGGGGGGGUGUAAGGACUACAUUUCCCGACAGCCUUCGCGGCACGGCUUGCCCUUGGGCUCUAGUUCCCGCCCAGCCUGACGCUUCCCGCGAAUUUCAUGCAGCCUGCAGGAGAGGGAGCAGCAGAGAGCGUGGCGCUGGCUGUGCGUGUGGGAGAGGCUGCGGGGCUCGGACUGCCAGACAGACAGCGUCCAUCUUCCCCGGAGCGGGGGCACCGCAGGACGGCGUGCUGGCUGGCACGGUGCGGCAGGAGCUCCCUCGGGCAGGCUGAAGGCUCGGAGGAAGGCUCGGACUCUGCCCGGGCGGGGUCACCGCCAUCGCCGGGCUCGGUACCCUGACUGGCAUGGCUUCUAUCUCUGACCGGGAGAGCGGGGCCGCCGAGAACGAGGGAUCCGAGCAACCCCCCUCCCCGGCCGGCUGCACGUGUUAUGCGGAGGGCUCCCUCCUGGUCCUCUCCGGGCGCCCCCAACCCGCCACAAUGUUGCCAAUCCCCCCACGAGGCUCCCGGUCUCCAUCAUACCCCCACUCCAGAAUCCCUCACACCGCCAGUGCCCCUCACCACCCCCCACACCGCCAGUGCCCCCCUCACCAGAACCCCCACACCGCCAGUGCCCACCUCACCAGAACCCCCACACCGCCAGUGCCCCCCCUCACCAGAAGCCCCCCCCACGAGACUCCCGGUGCGCGCCUCUCCCCGGUUCGCGUGUGUCUCUCCUGCCAUCCCGGUUUCCUCAGGACAGCCGCCUCGCGCCCCUCUAACCGGUUUACCGAUGUCACGUGGCCCCGGGCAUUGUCCUGUAACCGUCUGCUGUCCGUUCCCGGCCCGGGGGGGAGAUCAGCUAAGCCUGUGAUAUUCGGUUUAUUAUACGGUCUGUCUAUACCGGGGUGCAGUCAAUGCUCGCAGCUAUUCACUAACCAUCGCCUGUCAGCCUAUAUCUAUCUUCAUGUUUAGUCACAGGUCAGCUAAGUUGGGCUAAAUUCUGCCAUUACAGUUUAAUAAGGGGUUUAGUGAAUAUCACUGUGAACUUUUUUUAAUAAUGACCAAUUUGGAGUAUAGAGAGUAAAAGCCCCUGCAUGUUGAGGACAUAUUCCCCAUGUUGGAGAGUGCAUGAUAUCCCCCAGCCAGGCCUGGUAAUGGAUCUAAUCAAUGAGAGCUUGUCAUGCCAGUCUUGGGUCAUGCAAGGAAAAGUGCCAAGUCAAGCUAGGAGGGGCUCCUGGCUUGCACAGCCAGGGUGAGGAGGCUGUCUGAUGUCUGGACUUGAUACAAAGGAGCAGGGGUGGCCGAAAGGUGAAGAUACCAUGUGUUUUAGAACUAUAAUGCCCACAAUGCUUUGAUACGCUUAAAGCUGAUGUAGGGUCAUGGGGUUUGUAGUUUGACAGCCUUUUGGCCAACACUGACCUAACCACGUGUCUAGCCGUUUAAUUUUUUUUACUCAAAUAUAUGUAGACUUUUCUUUUUUUUUUUAUGUAGGACUGCCAUGUUCUCCAGUCCUGGCUGAGGUAGUAGUUUGUGCUGUUGGUCGGGUUGUGACACUGCCCGCUGUGGAGAUAACUGCGCAAGCUACUGCCUUGCUAGUGCUGGGGGUCAGCUGCAGGUGGAGACAAUGGCAUCAGGAAUUCCCUUUUGUAAUUGCCAUAGCAUUCUGAAACAUUUUAUAGUUUUUUUUUUUUUUGUAUGUGUGACAAUUUUAAAUGAUCAUUAUUUACCUGCUGGUUUAUAUUUCUGAAACUUAAGCUAUAUUCUGUUUUAUCCAUUAAGGUACUAUGGCAGAGUAGAGUGGCCAGUACGAAAAGAGCAGGUCAUUUCAUGUUCACACUGGGUCUUUUUGGUUGAAGGUUCAAUGUGCUUUUUUUUUUUUUUUUAAUUUGGUUUGUGUGAAAUAUUUGCAAGAAUUGGCAUUGUAGUGUCGUCGGAACACAACUUACACAUGAAAUGAAUUUAUUGUAAUACUAACCUUUCAACAGAGACGUGUCAAUCUUCAGUCUGUCAGGGCUUUGCAAUAUGGGUAGAUUAAACGUUUACUUAACAUAAAUGUUAUUUACAUUUGUUUCACAGUCUUUGUAACUUCAUUCAUUGACCGGUAAGAAGCUUAAUUCUUGAAAUAAAGUAGGUUCUAACUGGAACCCCAUUUAUUGCUUUUUGUGUCUGUUCAUUUAACAUUUGUGCAUGGGUUUUCUUCAGUAGUUUUAAGUGCUAUAUCUUGUAGAAUUUUGAAGAAUUUAGUGUACAUUUACAAUUAUAGAGAGAAAAUUUAAUUAGAAUAAACUUGUGUGAAAAGCUAAAGGAGAAAUAAUUACAGUAGCUUGCAGUUUUCCCUGCCUCGGCACAACCGUUUUAUUCCUACUUGAUUUCUGAGUAAUCACCUUGCAUGGUCUAAAUGUGCAUUCAUACGUUAUCAAAGAUUUUUUUUUUUAAGUAGUUAUUUCAAAAGCGGUUCAGUUGCCAUUAGAAUGCUUUGGAUUCCAAUGGUUUCUUUGGCAGUCUCCUCUCUUUUAGACUUUGCAUCACUCUUUAAAACACUACACAUUCCCCCACUAUGUCUAAAAUUUAGCACGAGGGGUCAAAGAGUUUUGUUGGGCAAGCACUUUCAGACCAAAAGAUGCAUUAAACGGACACGUUCAGGGAGGGAAAAUUGCAUGCUUGCAGUACAGUGGGUGUGUGCAAGUCCCCCGUCCCCCCUUAACAUGCAUUAUCUUCAGUUACAGAUAACAGAUUGAAAUCUGCUAAAACAUCAGCUUUUCAGAUAUGAAGUGAAAUGACUCCAUUGACGGUUUCUGUCAUAGAAUUGAACUCUGAUUGUCAUAUAGAAGCUUUCUAGUUGCAACAUUUAUUUUUUUUUUUUUCCUUCAGAAAUAAAUGUUCACUCAGUUUCCCUCUUCUUUAGUGUUAAAUAUAGUUUUUAAAUGUCUUUUGAGUUAUAGGUACACAAUAGGGCAGUUACAUUACUUUUUAUCAUCUGAUUGUUGCUCACUUUAAAUUUAGUCAUGUGACUUUUAACCACAUUUGAGUGCAGUUGGUCUAACAUGAUAGCUGUUUGACUACAUAUUGAGUAACAUUUUUGCUGUUUAAAAUGGUUUGUUUUUUAAAAGGAAUGCUUCAAACACCUAAAUCUAUUAACUUUGCUCAAAUGCUUUGUCAGAAUUCUUACUUCUAUGGGACGGUUCUGUUUCAAUAGAAAACUGCAUUAAUUUUAGUUAUGGGCAAGAAACAUUUCCCUCUCUUUCACUCAACUAUGAGGAUUUUCUUCCAUUGGCUCUGUGGUGCUAACAGAUGCAGUAGGCAUGAUGGUGAUGUGUUUACCUAUCUUCUCAAUGGUCAGUACUGUAGCUUAUUGAGAGAUAGACAAGCUGCAAGUGCAUGUCCAUUUGCAGCUCAAUUAUAUAGGCUUCUGGUGUAUUCUCUGGCAAAGUCUACAAGCAGGUAUGUUCCUGUGGCUCUUAUCUGUAUCCUGUGCCCUCAAUAAGAAUCCAGUUAUCUGGUCUCCCAUUCUAUGUUUGGUGAAUUUGUUUUGUAGACAUUUCCAUUGAAUUUCAAGAGAACAUAUAAAUGGGAAUUUUAAAGAUAUACAGCUUGCUGUGCAUUUAAAUCUCACUUCUUGGAGAAGACAGCUGGAUUUCUUCUAUUAUUUUUUUUUGUAAUCCUCCUAAAUGAACCAUUUGAAUAGUCCAUGCACCAGGAUAACAUGUGCAUAUGGAGGGUCUUGUAUUCAACUUUGUUUCUUUAUUACUGUUUUCUAAUGCAACAUUGAUCAAGGGUAGCACUGUUUGGCUUGAUAAUUUAAGGAAAUUGAAACAUUGGCUCCCAUUGGAAAUGAAAAGCUGAAGGUUUAAACACACGCUCACUCUAUAUGCAUGCACUUAUUAAAUCAUGGCUUAGUGUUUCCAUUUGUCAUUGGUAAGUGAAAACCAGACCCCUGCAAGUAGAAACUUAUUAACACUGGUUGUAUAUACCCUGUAGGUUUGCAGGGCUGAAUGUAUUUUUAAAGCCUAGCUUGUAGUGUAGGGUUUGACAUUUUAAGCCUUGUAUCAAAUAUAUAUUAACUUUGUCCAGGACAUGUUUAUUAGAUAUGUAGAUUAGGCUCCAGCAAAAGUUAUACUUACAUUUUUAUGUGGAAAUAAAUGUGUAAUUGGAGUAUCGAUCCAUAUCAGAUACGGUUAUCUUGCAGUCAUAUAGUGAUUGUUAUGAAACCACAACAUUGCACUACAGACCCCAAAUUUACGCUGCAGGGUUUUUUUUGUUGUUUUUUUUUCUCUCGUUUUCUUUAUGCAAACCUACCUUGAUUUUUACUGUAGAGGGGAAAAUUCAGCCUUACAGCCAAACCUAUCAAAUGUGCUUGUGUUGGUGCCAAAAGUUAACUUUUAAUUGUAAAAUCUAGACAAACUAUUUCUAAUUUAUGGCCCCAGACUUCCAGUGAGCUGAAAUUUAUUUCCUAAAGCAAGUCUUUUAGGCCCCUAUGCUGUUAGAAUACAUUACUAGGAAAUAAAAGUUGAGUAUAGUGAUUGAUUAGGAGGAUGAAAGAAAAGUGUGUGAGACAGCAUGGUAGAGAAGUUGAAGAGUAAUAAAAAUGCACGUUUUAUGAUUAUUUAAAGAAAAGUCAGGAUGAGGGUCAGCGUUAACACGCCACAGGAAAUCUAAUAUGAAGAGUGUAGGAAGAGGGAUCCCCUCUUGUACCCCCCAAAAUAUGUGAUAAGGAAAAAGGAUGCACCUUCAAAGGAUAGUAUUAGUGUAAGAUCAUUGUUAGAAUAUAUUUGUAAAAAUGUAAAUAAAAUAGUCCAGGUAACUCAGCACUAGUCAGGACAGGGUAAUCCACCAACAGUAGGAAAAGUUAUUUUUAGGCCAACAAACGGGAUAGGUAAUCACGAGUAUAGGCUUGUACUUCGAUGGAAAAUGUGGAGAGGAAACAGAAGAAAAAGGACUCUAAUGGUAUAGUAAAUAAAAAACGCUGGGUAUCUAUAAUAUGGAAUUACACACACUAUCCAGAGUUUAAAUCCAACUCUGGUAUGGAACACAUGAAGUGGAAUAAUCCCCACUCAAGGAUAUACAGGGUUCUUCAGGUUACCAAAUAUGGCAGAGUAGUACACCAAAAAGAAAAGGGAUAAUAGAAUAUAGUGUUCAUUGUAUCUUUAAGUGAAGAAAUAAAAAUAUGAAAUGUACUUAGCGUAUACCGAGCAGGCUCACUGCUCGGUGUAUAGCGUAUGGGUGGUAUCCCCACCUAAGGAUUUUUUUGUGCUUCUUGGGAACAAUAAAAAGCAAAGAUGUCGGGUAUUUAAAAUAAAAGAAAUAGGAAUAUGGCAGCUAUGGUAUGAAGCCAAAAAAUUCCUUUUAUUUAAACAGAGUAAAAAGGUUUCUAGAUGUGUUUCGCCUGUACAGGCUUCAAGUAGAAACUAGUAUACAAUAAGAAACCUGAGGAAUUCUGUAUAGCCUUGAGUGGGGAUUAUUCCAUAAAAAUUUAUAACAUACAAUUUCGAGGUACCCCAACGGCAAUCCUCGAAGCAAACAUCAUAUGUUACACUUGGGGUAUUAAGUUAGACAUGCACAAUUUUAUAAUAUUGGGGAUAAGAAUCUUUAUGAGGAGUUAAAGUGGAGACAUAAAUCAUGUGCGAGAGCUGCAGAUAUGGGGAACUCCUAAGCUCUUCAGCCAAUAAAAGUGUAUGUGUGAUCCAGCUCAAUACGGGUAAACAUAUUGUAGUGAAACACUAUAAGUCUAGCUUAGUAAGUGCGCAUGUUCUACUGUAUUGUCAGUGAGCAAGAAGCUGAAUGUUACAGGCUGAGCUUAUGUGGGUGCUGAAGUAUGAAAUAUACUCUACAGAGGGACAAAGAGUGGAAAAUAUGAGAUGCUAGCUAGGUCAUCUGAUUAUAUAAAAGAACGGGGUAAAAACCAUGGGUUAAAGCAUUUAACAGUUUGCCCAAUCAGGUAAGGUGGCUGCUAUUGGUGAAUAGCGGGUCUGGUAACUUAGGCACGGAAGGGCAUGUUCAGUCCAUGUUCAACUGACUCCUGACAUCGGGAAGCGCAGGUAAUCUGCUAGGCAGUCCCUCAGGGCCUUGAGCUCAUGUGGGGGCCAGGUGGUUGCAGGGGGUCCAAUUUUGGUCAUUCUCUGCACCUUCCUCUCUGUCAGUUUGCAUGUCGCUGUACCUCGUCGUAUGCUUGAUCGCCACUGUGGGGGCCUCCACUUCAUCAGCGAUGAUCGCCCUAGGGUUUUUUUUUUGUUUUGUUUUUUAAUAUACUAUACCAUUGGAGUUCUUUUUCUUCUGUUUCCUCUCCACAUAUUCCAUCGAAGUACAAGCCUAUGCUCGUGAUUACCCAUCCCAUUUGUUGGCCUAAAAAUAACUUUUCCUACUCUUGGUGGAUUACCCUGUCUGGACCAGUGCUAAAUUACUUGGACUUUUAUUUAUUUUAUUUAUAUUUUUACAAAUAUAUUAUUUUACAUAUUUGAAACAAUGAUCUUAUAAUAACUCAUUGAAGCAGUCUGGGUGCCCUGUCCCCCUUAGUCCUGCAACGUAAAUCAUUGCAGUUUUAGAGAUAACCUUGCAGGACUAAGGCUGUUUCUAGUUUCUGUCAGCCACUAGAUACUCUUAAUGGAUCCUUUUAAUUGCCAGACUAACACUGGAUGCUCUGCAUGAAAACAUUCUGCAUCAAAAAAAAAAAAUCCCCAUAGGAUAAGAUUGAAGUAAUGCUUUCCUCUUUGUAUGGACUAGUGCGUGGGAGAUCAGUGCUGGAAUCCGGUGAGUAAACAAAGGUUUUUCUUUAAACCUUUAUAUGCUAGGAGUGUGGGGGCCAUAGGGCGCAAUAAUGUCAAGAAUACAACUUUGUUUUCUUUGCACUAUAUAAUUCCUUUAAAAUGUAGAAUAUAACACAGGGGGACCCCCUAGAUGAUAUCCUUGUUAGGAUGGUGGGGAUAUGAAACCGAGGAAAGAAUUCACUAAACACUGGAUUAUACCAAAAUAAAUUCAAUAAAUACAGUUGCUAAAAUAGCUGUGGGGGGCAAAAAACUCUAAUUCAGCUACCAUCUCACCUUGGUAAUUUUAAUCUUAAUGUUGCUAUUCAUUUUAUAAUUCUCUAUAAUUUGGAGUAUAGUGAGUAAAGCUCUGCUGCCUCUGUUCUUUUUCUGUGUACAGGGAUUAUUUUCCAAUUUCUUCAGAUGGUUGUCCUAAUCAUUUAAUUUCCAAAUUUUGGAAAUAAUGGAUUCUUGUUUGAAAAAUCCACUCUAAUAGUAUUAAUGCCACAUAUACACUGAUCAGUCAUAAUAUUAAAACCAAUGAUUAUAGCAUUACAAUGGCAUCUGUCAAGGGUUGGGAUAUUAUGUAACAAGUAAAGCGUCCAUUCUUGAAUCUCAUGUGUUGGAAGUAGGAAAAGUGGGCAAGCGAAAAGGUUUGAGUGACUUUGACAUGGACCAAUUAGUGAUGGCUGGAUCAGGGCAUCUCCAAAACUGGCAAGUCUUCUGCAGUGUUCCUGGCAUGCAGUGGUUCAUACCUACUAAAAGUGGUGCAAGGAAGGCAAACCAGUGAACUGCUGUCAAGGUCAUGGGUGCCCAAGCCUCAUUGGUGCAAGUAGGGAGUUAAGACUAUCCCCUGUGGUCGAAUCACAAAGAAGAGCUACUGUAGCUCAAACUGAUGAAAAACGUAUGCUGGCGAUGAUAGCAUGGCAUAUGGGGCUGCUUAGCCGCAUACUGGUCAGAGUGCCCAUGAGUGCACAGAUUUGCCAGUUUCAGCUUUUUACUGGACACAUCACAGCCUCUUUUAUAACACAGACCACAUGGAUUAUUUUACGUGAGGCAUUUUAAGUCUUUUAACUUGUCUACACCAAAUUUUUAUCAUAGUUGGCAAUACAUUUGAUUUGUUUGUAAGUAUAUACUGAGUUUUAAUUUUAAAUCUUGUUGGCCUUGUGUCUUUUAAUAUUUAAAGAUCCUAGUUCAUAUGGUCAAAAUGCAAAAGUGUUCUAAUGUUGACACAAAACACUAACUGUUCACUGUUCGAUAUAUUGACUCACAGGUUCAGUGACCACUGUGAGAGCUGGACACAGUGAUCACAUGUACUUAGCUGUCUCUAUAACUUCAAUUAAUCACUGAUAUUGUUUCCUAAGGAAAUCAAGGCAAACAACGGAUCCCUAAUACUGGACUGACUUAUAUCUGACAUUGAAACUAAAGGAUUAAUUGUUUCCUAUAUUUUUAGUGUUUGAUGAAGCAUACCUGGAAAUUCACAAAGGGUUCAAGUGCAGCACAUAGGCAGUUUUUUUUAAAUAAAAAUACUAUCUUUAUGGAAAAACAAGUACUAUAUGUCUGUUUUAAAAGGAGUCCAUUAAUCUAUUUUAAAUGACAGAAAGAAAGCUUGCAUUAAAGUUUACAGUUUACCCAUUGGUUAUAGCAGGUUCUAGGGUUUUUUUGUUUUGUUUUUUAAUUCAUUUUUAUUUAUAUGAAAUACACACAAAAGAAAUUAACCUAUGACCGGUUUAGCUAAAUCCAUUGUUCUGUUAUUGCUGUAUUCUAUUUUAUGCUAGUUCUAAAUAUGUUGCCCAAAAAUCCGGUUACUUAAAUUCUUAUUAAAUGUAGGUGGUGGUUGCUUGGAUAAAGAGAUGGAAUGCUAAAGUGAUCAUAAUUACUUGCACUCAAUAUAAAGCACUGUGAAUGCAAUUUCGGUGGGCUUUAAGAUAACAUUCAUUAUGCAUUAUAUGCACAAACAUAUAUUAUGUGUUGACUUUCUAAAGCCAUAAAAAAAUGCAGCAAAUAUCUCAAACUAUAAUGUUGAGCUACAUUAUAUAUAUCAUAAAAAUAGAAAACAAAAUAUAACAAUUAAAAAGUGUGUGUGUGUGUGUAUAUAUAUAUAUAUAUAUAUAUAUAUAUAUAUAUAUAUAUAUAUAAUGUAUGUAUAUAUAGAGAGAAAGAGAUAUUAAGCAACACUGAGUGACAAUCAAUUUCACAUGCUGUUGUGCAAAUGGGAUGGACAACAGAUGGAAAUUAUAGGCAAUUAGCAAGACACCCCCAAUAAAAGAGUGGUUCUGCUGGUGGUGACCACAGACCACUUCUCAGUUCCUAUGCUUCCUGGCUGAUGUUUUGGUCACUUUUGAAUGCUGGCGGUGCUUUCAUUCUAGUGGUAGCAUGAGACGGAGUCUACAAUCCACACAAGUGGCUAAGGUAGUGCAGCUCAUCCUGGAAGGCACAUCAAUGCCAGCUGUGGCAAGGUUUGCUGUGUCUGUCAGCGUAGUGUCCAGAGCAUGAAGGCGCUACCAGGCGAAAGGCCAGUACAUCAGGAGACGAGGAGGAGGCCGCAGGAGGGCAACAACCCAGCAGCAGGACCGUUGCCUCUGCCUUUUUGCAAGGAGGAUCAGGAGGAGCACUGCCAGAGCCCUGCAAAAUGACCUCCAGCAGGCCACAAAUGUGCAUGUGUCUGCUCAAACGGUCAGAAACAGACUCCAUGAGGGCCCAAUGUCCACAGGUGGGGGUUGUGCUUACAGCCCAACACCGUGCAGGACGUUUGGCAUUUGCCAGAGAACACCAAGAUUGGCAAAUUUGCCACUGGCGCACUGUGCUCUUCACGAUGAAAGCAGGUUUACACUGAGCACAUGUGACAGUCUGGAGACGCCGUGGAGAACAUUCUGCUGACUGCAACAUUCUCCAGCAUGACCGGUUUGGUGUGGGGUGGCCGCACAGCUCGCCAGAGGUAGCCUGACUGCCAUUAGGUACUGAGAUGGGAUCCUCAGACCCCUUGUGAGACCAUAUGCUGGUGCGGUUGGCCCUGGGUUCCUCCUAAUGCAAGACAAUGCUAGACCUCAUGUGGCUGGAGUGUGUCAGCAGUUCCUGCAAGAUGAAGGCAUUGAUGCUAUGGACUGGCCCGCCCGUUCCCCAGACCUGAAUCCAAUUGAGCACAUCUGGGACAUCAUGUCUCGCUCCAUCCACCAACGUCACGUUGCACCAUAGACUGGCCAGGAGUUGGCAGAUGGGAGGAGAUCCCCCAGGAGACCAUCCGCCACCUCAUCAAUGGCAUGCACAGGCGUUGUAAGGAGGUCAUACAGGCACGUGGAGGCCACACCUACCACUGAGCCUCAUUUUGACUUGUUUUAAGGACAUUACAUCAAAGUUGUAUCAGCCUGUAGUGUGUUUUUCCACUUUAAUUUUGAGUGUGACUCCAAAUCCAAACCUCCAUGGGUUGAAAAAUUUGAUUUCCAUUUUUUUAAAUUUUUGUGUGAUUUUGUUGUCAGCACAUUCAACUAUGUAAAGAACAAAGUAUUUCAGAAGAAUAUUUAAUUCAUUCACAUCUAGGAUGUUAUUUUUGUGUUCCCUUUAUUUUAUUUUUUUGAGCAGUGUGUGUGUGUGUAUAUAAUCAGCAUUUCGCAACAUUCAAGAUGGCCACCACUUUUCGCUGUUCCUGGUAGUCGAAAGCAGCAGAGAUCGCAAGGAUGUGAUUUUAUACUCUCCUGCCGUUGGCCAUUGCAGACUCACUGAGUUGGUUGCGAGCAUUGAUAAAGGACAAUCACGUGUAGAAAACCUCUUAUUUUUUUUAAUAAGUAUUGUGCCCAAUCUGGUUUUACGUAGGAGGGAAAUUAUUAGUUUUACUAAGCUGCCCUUUAGAUUCGCACCCAAUUUAGUGUCAGAGGAUAAUCUUUCAUUUUUAGAGUCAGACUGUGCUCGUUAAAAGUGUGCUGCUGAAAAUAUUUGUAUUAGCCAAAAUUUACUUGGGUUUUUUUUUGUAAACUUCAUUAGAAAUCAUUUUAUUUAAAAAUAGAAAAUAUUACACUUACAAGUACUACAAUCUGUUUAUUAUUUGUAGGAAUUACUGUUUAGCCCCCCCCACCCCACACACACCCAAAUCUUAUUAAUAGCUUCUGCUUCAAAGUACAACAAUCUGUUUACUUUGAAGUUAAACAGCAGUGCAUUUUGUUCCAAUACUGGUCCAAAAAGAAAGGGUGCUUUACUUGCUUACUAAGAGUUGAGAACAAAACCACAUCCUUUGUAGUCAUGUAGUGAAAUCUGUAUUUUUCCAGGUUAAAGAAGUGUUAUCUCUGCUCCAAGACUGAACCAACAACCAUGAAUUUUAACAGCUAGCUAAAGGAUGAAACUUUCAAGAGAAAAAUUACUACUUGUAAUUGUUUGGAUUUAUAGAAAUGGAGAAAGAAGAUACAACACUAAAUCAGGAAUUCCGGUCCGAAAUAGUUGAAUCAACUGUUAAC